rnacentral:lncRNA from 1 species
UUCUUCCACCCUUUGCGGUCGUAUUUACUUACAUCACAGUUGACUAAAAGACAUAAUUUUUGUCAACUAUACUUUAAAAUUCACGCACUUUCGCAUGAGGAUGAAAAUUGGGAAGUCACAUGGAUCCCUCGUAACGCACGCAAACCAACCACCUAUGCCCUAGCUAAAAAGCUAUAUUAUAAAUGAAUGAAUGACCCGACAUCCUUGCCUCGGGCGGCGUGGGCCUACAUUCUUCGGCUCCACAUCAAUUGCCAACCACUCCCAAAAUCAAAUUUCUCUCUCUCUCUCUCUCUCUACUUUCGGUCGGAUCGCUCCAGAAAACACCUCUCUCUCUCUCUCUCUAUCAUUCACACGUGCCAGAGUCGACGACGAUCGAAUCGCUUGUGUCAGAACCCCGAAUUCCGUCCGCCAGAGCUUUAGAGAUGUACUCCCAGAUACCAAGAAUCGUCGAAAACAAGCUCUGCUUGCAUGCUCCCGUGAAAAGAGCAGAAACAAAGAUUUGAUUUUGAAUUCUGGAUGUACAUUAAACAGCUGAAAUCUCAAAGACCCAUCUCGGUGAUUUCUUGAAAUUUGGGAAAUUUAAUAGAAAUUCUAUAUCUGGGGAGCCGAGGCCGGAUCGACGUCAAGAUCCAGUGAGAACCCGUUUUUGGAAAUCCCUAUCUCUUGUUAAUGCUUGGAGAUUGAGCAAGAACCAUACAUACCCCACCUCAUCUUUCCUGGAAAAAUUUGCGCAGAUUUUCCCGAGAAAAGUUACAGAAAGAGAGGAAAAUUUCCUCGUUCUAUCCAUGAAUUUGUGUGUUUACAAUCUCUAUCUUCGAUCUGGGUUGCGUGGAUUUUUCCCAGAUGAUCAAGAAUAACGAAUCUAUGGAACGAAAAAAGACAAGGGAAAAAGGGAACGAAUGAGCGUGUAAGAAUGUGAAUCACGACCUGCGGCUUUGCUGCUUCAUCUUCUUCCUGAAAACGACCUCAGUGUCGAGGCCGAACCCGUCGAUGCUCCUCGACUCCACCAGCUCCGACUCCCGGAACAUCUCCACCAGCGGAUCCAGGCUGUACAGGUCGUUGGCCGAGUACUUGUCCGUCCGGUGCCGGACCGUCACGUGCAGCACGCAGAUCCCCCCGGGCCGCAGCGUCCGCUCCACCUCCCCGACGAACUUCCAGGGGUACAGCGCGUGGUCGAACACGUUCGAGAACUCGAAGUCGAACGUCGCGUUCGGGAAGGGCUGGGCGUGGAAGUCGCCCUCCACCACCAGCGGCGGGCGGGGCACCAGAUCGAUCCCGAUCGAGUCGUUCACGCCCACCAGCUUCAGCGCCGCCACCUCCUGGCCGACCCGCGCCCCGAUGGAGAGCGCCCUCCACGACUCGGCGAGGAGGCCGCGGCGCUUCAGGCUGUCGAAGAAGCGGGCGAAGACGCGGACCUUGCGGUCCCAGUCGCGGGUGGUCCAGAUCUUGCGGAGGUUGGGGUUGAGCGUCUUGUUGAGCUGGUGCUGGAUGUAGGCCUCGUAGGAGGUGUACCCGGAGCGGAUUCGGAUGCCGCCGCCCCCGCCGCCGCCGCCGCCGGAGACGGCACCGGAGGAGGCGGGCGGCGGGUGGGCGGCGGCGGAGGGGCUACGGCGGAGGGGGGUUUGGGAAGCGAGGAGGAGGAGGACGACGGAGAGGGAGAGGAGGAGGGAGAGGGCGAAGGGCUUGAGGAGGAGAGGCAGCUUGGAGAUGGCGAGGACUCUCAUGUCUGCAUGAAGAGAUAGAGAGAAAGAAAGAGAGAGGAUGAUGUAUUUGUAUGGGAGAGUUUUUUGUUUCCGAGUGAGGUUUUGUCUUUUGUUCUUUUCGAUUUGGGAAGAUGUACUCUCGCCGGCCGGGGUGUUUUGUUUUCACUUUUGGCAACUUCCCAAAUACAAACCCCCUUGAGUUUGAUUGGGGAAAAAAUGGAAAAAGGGGAAAUCCUAUAGAUUAACCAUAUUUUUACUUGUCACGGGUUGAAACUUUUCUAGUCGAGGACAGCCCAUACGGCGCCUGAUGAGUCGGAACACCAGGCCUGCCUUCUCUUGAUAGGCCGUUUUCGAGGACGGUAUGGUCAUCGCAUUCUCAUCUUUGAUUGAACUACACUCAAUAUAAUUCCAAUAUCCAAUCCCUCGAGCAAAACAUACAGAUCACUUCAGUUUGGGCUUGGGUAACAAUUAGUUUUGCCUUUUGAUAGGGGGAAAAAAAUAGGACCGUCAUCAUGGGAAAAACGUCAGCUCCAGAUCAAUUUGCACACGAGAAAGUAACCCCACUAUUAAAGAUCCUCUAAGAUAAUAAUAAUCUCAUUCUUCGAUUCGUAACACGAAUAUUCUGAGGUCAUUCUCACAAACCAAUUAUAUCAACCCUUCUGUAUAUCUCACACUUCGACCCAAUGCCAGAAACUCUACUUUCAGCCCACGAUUGUAUCAACCCUUCUACAUAUGGUGAUACUCUCCUCCACCCAAUUGUCCCAAGCCCUUGUUGUUGAGUAUUAUGUUGCUCACUUAACGUUUUUUGACAAUCAUUUUCACUUCCUUGGGACUUACAUGAAUGACAAACACUUGGCUAACAAAGCAUGUCACUCUCUCCAUCGAUUGCUUCCUCUGAUCAAAACACAUUCGUGAAUCUCCAGUCACUUGGGCCUUCCUUAACAAGUGUGGCAUCCCAACCAAAUACGCUCUCUCAACAACACUUUCUUUUGCCAACUAGAUUUCUCUUGAUCUUAGCAAAUCAAGGAAGGUUUUUUCUUCUUGUAGGAAACAUGGCAACAAAUCUCUUCUUUGCAUCCACCCAAAAAUUUUGGAAUAUCUACAUGGAUACCAUCUCUACUUUCCUACCCAAGGACAGCCCUAUACAACGCUUGAUGAGCUAGAAUAGCAAGCCAAUUUGCCCUUGAUAAACCAUUCUUAAAAACAAUAUGGCAAAUUGCAUCCUUAUCACUAACCGUAUCAUGCCUAAUUUACUUCAGGCAUUUAGUCCCUCAAGCAAGACAAAUGGAUCACUCCAGUACGAAAACCAAUUUCAGCCUAUUUGGCCAUUAUCAAGAAAGCGGUGUCAACUCCUGAUUAAUUUAUGCAUGGGAAGCCAAUUUUUAGAGAUCUUUUGAAAUAAUAAUUAUCGCAUCCCCAAAUUUCUAGCACGCACACUCUAACGCCACUCCCCCAAACUAGUUGUAUCAACCCUUUUACGUCUUCCACACUUCACCUUGAUUGCUCAAUGCUCCACCUUUCAGCCUGUAUUAGUAUGAGAGAAAUCGAACCACGACAAAUGCACUUUGCAUCCUCCUAUAAACAUUGGGACGACAAUAUUGCAAAAUGAAUUUUGUUCUUACGACUAAGGGAAAAGUACAAAAAAAAGUUUUAAGCAUAUUAUAUUUGUAUUAUUUCAAUCAUAAACUUUUUAAUUAAACUAAAUCUCCUUCUAAAAGAAAUUAAUGAUUAAUUUUAUUUAGUCUUAAACAUUUUUACAUUGGAACUAAUUCAAUCCAUCCAGCCAAUUUAUGCCAGAAAUUGUUGGCAUGGAUGCCGACCGUCCUACGUAGCAUGACUAGACGGCCACAUUGACAAUUUUUUUAAUAAUUUUUUGAAUUUUUUAUUAAUAAAAAGAAAUCUCAAUAUCAACAUUAGUCAUGCCACGUAGAAGGCCAGGCAUCUGCAUCAUUGAUAUUCGGCCUAAAUUGAUCAAAUAGACUGAAUUGGUACUAAUUUGAAAAUGUUCAAAAUUAAAUUGGUCGUAUGAAAAAGUUUAGGACUAAAUUGGUAUAAACAAUUUUGGUACUUUUCCCUAUAACUAAUGGAAACAAUCUUUAUCAAAAGACACUUCAUCAUGUGCAUGGUUUUGCUUUACGGUUCCUAUUUGCAUCUAUAUGACACUUUUGGGUCCGGACACCAACUCAUCGUAUAUAGAAGGAUGUACCAAAGUACAGAAAUGUCAAUAAAUAACCAAAUCAGCAUUUUCAACAUGAACUAGUAACGACAUUAUACGGUUAGAGUUAUAAUAUAUGUGUUUUUAAGGAAAGAAUUGCAUGACACAACAGUAGUCUUGCAUUCAUGCUGUGCGUACAUAAGUCUAGUGACAACUAUUCAGAGGCAUUUGAGACUUUGAAAAAUUAUCACAUGAAUUACCCAUUUCGAACUCUAGUCUUUCUAGCUGUUUUUCCCCUCCCAAGGGCAGGUUCUUAUGGUCAUUUUUUAAUAUGUGGAUUGGAGCAUACUCGACCUUGAAAUUUACUCGGUGCAACAAUUUACCACCUGCAUUAGGUAACAAUCCCUUCUGAUGUUUCAAGUACAUGGAAUGGAAAGCACGCGAAUACAAUCCUUUUUACUCUACGAGAACAUGAACAUGGACAUGGACAUGGAGAGGCACUUCCUGAGAUGUCUUUUCGAUGGAAAGAGGGCCAUCGCUGAAGAUAUAAGAGGAACAUAAAGUGUAUUGUUGAAGUUGCCAUGCAAGAUUCAAAGUUCUGAACUUUCCAGCAGAUUGGAAGCUGAGGCUAUCAUACACAUGUUUAUUGAGCCUAAGACUUCCAGAGACUCGUACGUUGACUAUUUUCCUGACAGUUAAAGAGAAAUUUGAUUCUUGCUUUCAACAUAAGUUCCUCUAUAUGCCCUACUCCUUCAAAUGCCUUAUAUGCCCUACCUCUUCAAAUGCUUUAGAUGGCAUUCCAGACAAAUCUGUCAAACGAGGAUCAGAUGACUCUCCCAACUGAUACAUGAUGUACUGAUUAUUGUUUUCUUCUUCACAUCAACGAACUGCUUGACAUGGCAACCCCUUUUGUUGACGAGCUCCUGUCUUUGCUCUAGCAUGCCAUCGAGCUUGAAGAACAGGAAGAGAAACCUGCCCUGGCCAAGAAUUCACCGCCAAUUUGAUUUGAUCAUAAUGGUAGAUUUCGAGUGAGUUCGCAGACAUCGCCUUGACACAUUCAUACUGUCUAAGCCACCAGAUAGAGAUUCACAAAAUCCACAUGUUAGAAAACUUUUCAGGCGUAUCCUCAGCUCAGCUCCAGCCAAAUGCCGUUGGCCCCUUGCAUACUAUCUUGGCUUCUGAUGCCUCCACAAUUGAAUGCAGGAAGAUACCCGGUGGUCAGCAAUAAUCACAACAUCCACACUGCAAACAAGUGAACAGAAAGUUCAGUUUUCAAAGACACAAGAACAUAGCCAUCUGCACUGUCUUUGCACCUGCCCUUUCUUUUGCAGUAGAUUGCCGAAUGCGACGUAAUAACGUACCUUGAAAAUGGCUUCUCUCUCUUUAAAACUCUUGGGAGAGAAUAUCCCCUCUCUCGUUAGCAGGAGAGAUGGCAACAGAGGGCAUACAUUAACUAACGUGCGCCUCCUGACCAUUUUCCUUACCAACCGGAUAUAAUCCUCUUUGAAUCUUUAUGUGGACCUUGGAUUUUCUGAUGGUUCUUCUUUCUUUGAGCAUUUGGAAGGCUUGAUUGAGAGAUACGGCUCUAUUCUAGGUGUCCCUGAUUCAUCACAAGAAGUUCUGAAUGACGUGGGGAGACUCGCAUUGGGUUCUCUGCAGGAGUUCCAGCAAGAUUCUACUCAGGAGCAUUUGAAUGUUACUCAAUCGUCCUGGAAGGAUAUUCUUCUUGAGUCAAAUGCAAGGAAAAUGAAUUUCCAUGAGCCUCACAUGAUUGAUGGUCGUAAACAAGUUCUAAUACAUCGAUCAGUGGUUUUGGAGGGUAUUAUUAAGUGGUAUAAUUUUCUUAGUGGACAGAUUCUGGGGGAAAAAACGAGUUUAGGAGUUGUUGCUAUUCCAGCGAAUUGAUUACGGGGCAGAGAUGGGAGUAUUGACGUUCAUGAGAUUGGAAAAUGGCUUAUUCAUGAUCAAAUUUGCCAAUUCUUCUGUAUAAGAUUGAAUUCUUUAAAAGGGGUCCUGGCAUAAUGCGCAUUUUCCACUGCUUCUUAAAAAAUGGGAGCCAAAUCUGUUAAAGUUAGAUGCUGAGAAAACUCGAGCUCCAGUUUGGGUUAAAUAUUUGAAAGUGCCUCUGCAUUUGAUGACAUUAGAGAGUUUGAGUAAUAUAGCUACUGCAAUUGGAUUUCCUCUCUUCCCCGAUAAGAUAAGGCAACAGAGGAGGGUUCUCGUUUAUCUUUUGCAGAAGGUUUUUACUGAAAUAAAUUUGACUUUGCCUUUUCCUGAUUCAGGGUCUUGGAAUUCUGGAAGAUGGGUCUAACCAGAGAUGAAAGUAGAGUAUCCACGGGCUUUGCGGAAACGUACUUUAUGUAAUAAGUCCGGUCACUCUACUAAUGCUUGUUCUGUAGCAUAGAUGUAGAUGGUGGAGAAUCACCGGAUUCCAAGGCACUCCUGUGCUAAUGAGGUUAAGGUGCUGUUAAACAACCUGGAGAUUCGGUUGGAAAAUUAUCUGAUAUUGGGAUAAGGAUAAAUCAUUCGCAGGUGGAUGAAACACACGAUGUUGGAAAGAGUAAUGAGUUCUAGGUGGAUGAAUCACUGACGGCUGCAAAUUGGCGGUGGCAAUAAAGUUUGGGAGUUCUCCUAUGUCUGUCUCGAACUCUCUGCGAAUUAGAAAGUUCAUGGCAAGAACCCAUCUUCCGAUGAGGACGAAAUGGAGGAAGUUUUGCAAGAUAGUGGUAUAGCCUCUGUCGUUAAUGAUGACCCUAUCCUCUCAUGUUCUGCUCCUUCAAGGGAAGCUACAGAAGCUGCUAAAGUGCAUGGUGAGAUAAUGAAGCAGAUUGGUCAAUCCAGGAGAGGAAGGAAGAGGAAUUUGUCGACUGAUCUGCAGCACGUGGCCGGUAAAGUCCAGCUCCUCCAUCUUGAAGUAAUAAUAUAAUAUCUUGGAAUGUGAAGGGUUUUGGCGAAUGUCUCAAACGCAGAAAAGUAAUAAAAAGUUGAGAGGACGUCUAUCCAUUUGUUUUGUUUGCUUGAAACUUGAGUAAAGGACAAGAACGCUGAGAAAAGAGGAAAUAGAGCUUUCCCAAAUGUGACUUGGAUUGACAAUUAGAAAGUACGUGAUUAUGAAAGCAUUUGGAUUUUUAUUAAGAGGGGAAAAUUUGUAGAUAUUAUACAUAUACAUGGGCAGUUUAUACAUUGAAGAUUCUAUACAAUGACAAUUCUUUUCUCUUUACUAUUUUGUAUGGCUUCAAACGAGCCUGAAGAAAGGAAGCUCGUCUCACUUGAUAGCGGGCCCUUGUGGGUGAUUUCAACACCAUCGUUCCCCAUUGGAGGCUAGUAAUGCUGAUGUUGCUGAUUCAGUCGAUAGGGAAGAUUUUGAAUAGCUGUCUGUUCGAUGCCGAGUUGCAAGAUGUAAAGUCUACUGGGAAUAUUUUUGCUUAAAGCGGCAAAAGAACACAAGAUUCUGUUGCCAGGAAAAGGGACAGAGCACUAACUAAUAUGAGCUGGCUUCAGAAUUUUCCCUUUUCAGCUGCUGAUUUUCUUCCUCCAGGAAUUUCAGACCGUUGUGCUGUCAAUUGUGACCAAAUAAGCGCACCAAAACCCUUUCAGAUUCUUCAAUUACUGGUGCUAGCAUCCCCAGUUUUUGAACUAGUCGAGUCAGCACGGACUUGUGCUGUUUCAGGAUGUUCUGUGUUCAAGCUAUAUGAGAAGCUUCAAAAUGUUAAAGCAGCUUUAAAGAAACUCAAUACUGAGCAACUUUUGUCAAAUUAAUGAGCAAGUGAAGCAAGUGCAAGAACAGUUGACAGCUUUGCAGGCACAAAUUAAUUCAGGUGGGCCAGUUCCAGAUGUAUAAGUAUAGGAGCAUUAAUUUAAACUCAGAACUGAGUUUGAAGACUCAAGAACGGUGAAGAAGCCUUUUUCAAACAGUUGGGGGAUAAAAACACACAUACAUUCAUAGAAUGGUUAGAAUAAGAAAUUCCAAGGGAUCCCUUAGAUUACUAUAGUCUGGAGAUGGAAGAAAGCUUGGGCAUAAGGCCAUAGCAGCGGAGGCUAACAUAACUGCUAUUUCACGGAUUCCAAAAGUGAAAAAUGCAUCUAAGAUGACCUAGUUCAGGCCUAUUUCUUGUUGUAAUGUCAUUUAUAAAUGCAUUACCAAGAUUAAGGCAAAUAGAGAUUUUGCCAUUUUUUUAUUAAUGUUAGCCAGUCUGAUUUUGUUAAUGAUAGAAGGAUUGCUAAUAAUGCUUAGUUUGCGCAUGAACUAGGUAAAAACUAUCAUAGCAAUCGUAUUUCUCCUCGAAGAAUGAAAAAAGCUGACACAAUGGAGGCUGUCGGCUCAGUGAAUUGGGAUUUUGUCCUCAGCAUCUUGCAGACUAUUAAAGUGCCUGAGAACUUUAUUUAACGGAUAAGGGUAGGCAUUACUCCCCCGUACUUCUCAGUCAGCUUGGAUAGAGGCUUGAAGGAUUUCUUAAAGGGGAGAGGGGACUGAGGCCAGGAGAUCCUUCAUCUCCAUCUUUCUUUGUAAUUACCACGAAUGUCUUCUCUAGAAUGUUGGACUCAGGCGCACAACAUUGAAGGAUCAGGUAUUAUCCACCUUGUGCUGAGGUAAAAUUUACUUAUUUGAGUUCUGCUGACGAUUUCUUGAUAUUUUGGAUAGGAGAUAGGGCAUCCUUGUUGGAUGUACUCUCUCUUUCUCAGGAAUUUCAUAGUAUGUCUGGCCUGAAGAUAAAUCCUGAAAAAUCUCAGCUUUAGUCUUCCUGGAAAUAAGUUUGAUCACAGCAAAGAUCUUCUUUGACUGAGUAACUUUCAGAGGAUCUUGGCAACUUUCGAAGAGGAUCUCUUCCUGUCAGAAAUCUUGGCCUUAACUCAUUUCAGGAAGGCUAAUUGAUCGUGAUUAGUAAGCCAAUGAUUGAUAAGCUGACUUCUAGAAAGGAUUAGUGGACUUCUACGAACUCAGUUAUGCAGGAAGAUUGCAUUUGAUAUCAUCAGCUAUGUAUAGCAUGGUUAAUUACUGGACUCAGAUCUCAGUCUUGCCAAAGGAAGUAAUUAAAGUUGUAGGAAGCUAGCGUUCUGCUUUUCUGUGGAAAGGUCAAACUGCGCAUGCUUAUGGAGCAAAAGUGGCCUGCUUUGAUGUAUGCAUUCCCAAUUUUGCAGGGGGCCUUGAUCUUAGGAAUCUUGCUUUGUGAAUGCUGCUUGUAUCCUCAAGAAACUCAGCAGAUUGCUUCUGAAAUCAUGCUCUUUAUGGGUUGCAUGGGUUAAUUCUACAUUGAUGAAGGGGUCUAGUUUGUGGCAAGCCAAGGAGAGAUCAGACAGCACAGAUGCGUGGAGGAAAAUGCUCAAACGAAGGCAUUUAUUUAAACCACAUAUCAAGCAUCUGGUAGGUAGUGGAGAAACUCUCUUUAGGAUAAGAUGAAUGGCAUCCAUAUGGGAUCUUGAUUGAAAAAUAUUCUCUGAAUCUUUUAUACCUUUAGGUUAUAAAGCAACCAUUGCAGAUGUUAUCAGGGCAAAUGACUGGAGAUAGCCUUUAGCAAGGUCUGUUGAUCUGCUUUGAAUUAUGGAUCGCCUUUGGCAAGGUCUAUUUGCUGGAUCAUCUAGUGGCUCUUUCUCUGUAAGGAGGCUUGGAAGCUAGACAGGAAAUAUGGGAACAAAGUGACUUGGCAAAGGCUUGUAUGGAUUUGGUAUAAUGUGCUAGGCUAUGGCUUUACAACUUGGAUGGUGACUCAUGAUAGGUUUGCACACAUGGUCCAGGAUGAAAACUUGGUGGGCAUGGAUAGCACUAGUGUGCUAUGCAGACGACAUGAAAAAUCUCAAAUGCACUUGUUUUUUCAAGAGUAUCUUCUGAAAGCAGAUUUGGGAAAGUUUUACAGCUACUCUCCUGUCGAAGAUUUGCAAGCGACAGGAAGGAUGAAUUUACUUGGGUCAUGCAGAACUUGGAGGUGAAUAGUUUUAAGUUAGCCGGGCAUGCAACAAUUUAUUAUCUCUGGAGAGAGAGGAACUUGGUGAAGCAUGAAAAUACAUCCCCUCAAGCUCACCGUGUCCUUGAUGCAGUUGAUUUUUCUUUAAUAGUCUCUGUAGAAGUUAUGAUUCAGGAAGGAAAUUAGAAACUUACUGCUGAUGUUAAGAGUUUGUGCAGAAAUUGGCAAGUUCAUGUGACUAACUUUUAUGUAAUCAGGCAUGGUUUUGAGUUUGCAUCCCUAAAUCAUUUUCUCCGGCUUGCAGUUGGUACCGGCAGUGUGGAUGUGGAACAUAUGAUUUAAUGUUGUUCUUUUGAUGUGUAGUUCGCUGUUAGUGGUCUGUAUGGGAUGUAAUCCUCCCCUGCUUUAUUCCACAGGUUGUGCAAUAAAAUGGAUAAUCGAUUAUCAAAAAAAAUUGUAUAAGAUCACAGGUCAAAUAUGUCUACUGUACUUUCAACCAUGCCAGGUUCCCCAAAUAAGUACCUUUGACAGCAUGACCAUAGGGUCUUGUGGAAAUAAUUUGGCUCAGCAAUGCUUAGCAACUGAACAAAGCUCGAGUGUUCAAUCUCCCAUUUAAAGAUACCUCAACAAGUCAUCUUUCUUGUCUUGUGAAGCUUCUUUAGUUGCUCAUUUUGAAUGAGGGACAGAAUUUUUAAGUCCACUGACCAGCAUAGAUACAGUCAAACACAAGCUUUCUGAGCGCAGCAGGAUUUGCCGCAAAAGAAUCUCCACUUCAUAGAGAAAACAGCAAUGACUGCGCACAUCAUCUUAUAGCCAGCAGCAAACAACCAUGGCCACCCUAUUUGUCUCACCAGACAUGAACCAAGGACAGAUACAUAAGGGCAGCCAAAGAUAGCUGAGGCAGGGAACCAACACAGUCCAAUUCCCUCUUCUUCCCAAGAACAUUUUUAACGCCCAUCAAGUACCCUUCGAUGUCUUAUCCGAUCCUUCCAGAACUCAUCCUUCUUUCCUUUCUUCUUGGGUCUCACUGAACCCAUUUUGCUAUUGACUAUACCAAGAAUAGCACUCCUGUCCUUCCUAUUGUUUAAUGCUGCUUUUACAUCCAAUAUUUCCCUGAGCUUUUGGUAUGAUCGGGCAUCUGGCACCUGUCCACUUUUUACCAUCUUCUUGUGAUAAAAGAAUGCCCUCCUGAAAUCACGAACACGGACAAAGGCAUAUAUCAUGGUCGAAUAAGUGAUAGAAUCAGGCUUCAGAUUCAAAGUUGCCAUUUCUUUCAACAGUUGGGGCAACUUCAAGUGCUGACCUCCUCGUGCAUAUGCAUUAAUCAGCAUAUUAUAAGUCAUAACAGUUGGCUGCAGACCUAUCUUCCCAAAUUCAGAGAUCACAUCUCUAGCUUCAACGUAGUGACCUUGCUUAGCAAAUCCAUCAAGGAGAAUGUUAAACGUAACCCGUGUCCCUUCAACUUUCUCGAUAAUCAUCAUCUUCCAUAUUGUCAUUAACAUUUUGGUGUCACCAGAACGCCUAAAUGCAUCCAGGAGAGUGGUGUAGGUUUCAAUCGAGGGUUUGAUUCCUUCUCUUAGCAUAUCCUCAAAUGUUGAGUAAGCUUUUUCAUGCCAACCACUUACGGAAUAAGCAUGAACAAGAGCUGUAUAAGAAUGUAAAUUCGGUUUUAUACCAACUCUCCUCAUCCUCAUGAACGCAUCUGCAGCCAUGUCACUCAUUUUCCUCUGCCUGCCAUAUGCACUAAUCAAGCAUGUAUAUGAAGUGGCAUUUGGCUCCAAGCCCAUCUCUUGCAUAUCUUUAAGAAACUUUUUAACAAUCUCAGGCUGUAUCCUUCUGCUGUAUGCAUCCAUCAGGAUAUUAAACGUGGCAGCAGUGGGUUUGAGGCCUUUUACUUUCAUUUCAGCAAAGAGACCCUCAGCUUCUUCAAUCUGAUUGGAUUUGCUAUAAGCAUCCAUUAAUGUGUUGUAUACGAUGACAUUUGAAGGGAUACCUUUCUUUUCCAUUUCCACUUGGAUAAUAAGAGCUUCCUUCUUCAGCCCCUCAUCACAGAAUGAUUUUAUUAGAGCACCCAUAACUUCUGAACUCCAUUUAACUCCCUUUCUAUUCAUCUUCUCAAAGAACUCCCACGUUUCUUUAGCACUGUGGCCAUUCUUCCUCAUGACUGUGAUGACUAUAGAGCAUGUCACGUGAUCCGGCUGAACAUUAUUAGCCUCCAUUGCCUCAUACACCUUCCAAGCAUCCUCGUAGCUGAAACGUACGAUUAAGUAUCUCAUUUAGAACGUCUGGACACAUGGGAGAAGUAAAAGGCAAGGGAAUUACAGAUUAAAGGAAGACAACUAUUGCCAGAAAAAGAAAAAUUCAAUGUCAUUGAUGAAAGGACGAUUGCAGCUGUCUAGGGUAUGUUCUUAUUUUGUUUCUGCAGAGACUCAUGUAGGAUAUGAACAACAUGGUCUAGAUCUUGAACAGUGAUCCAACAGAUUGUCCUUCAGACUCAGAAGAAUAGAGUCAAAAGCCAAAAUUUACUCCCACCAAGAUAUUACACAAUGACAGGAGAUUCAGACCUCGUCCAAUUCAACAGGACAAUACGAUAAAACUACUUUCUCCAAAACUAAGCUUAAAUCAGCCUCAAGGACUUUGCUGAUCUUACUAUCGACAAAAGCACAAUUGGUGUCACACAAAGUCAAUCGUGACGCGGCAUAACAAAUAAAGAAGCACGAAACCAACGAACAAACUGAAUACCUGCCGGAGCUCAUCAGCCCUGAAAUAGCAGAAUUGUAAACACGAACAUCCCAGAACUCUUCCUUGUUCGGCAGGUUUUCGAACAAGACCAGCAAUUUGUCCCCCAUUUUAGCUCUUCCCAACAUGGGAAACAUGACGGAGCAUGCUCGAGCGGUAACAAGCGACGGCUCCCGCAACCCCAUCCACUCGAAAAAGUAGACGCUGCUCCCCACAAGCCCCUCCUUCUCCAUAAUCCCCAACACCUCCACGCACUCUUUCGCGCUAAUCCUCCCCUCGAAACCCCCCAAGAACUCCCCCAACGUCGUAUUCACCGGCAACCUCCUCGCAAGUUUCAAAAUUUCGCCGACCACGCCCUCGGGCGACCCUUUCGGGGCCGACCCAGAAGACCCCAUCUCCUCCGCAUCUCCGACGGCCGGCGCCGACGCAUCCUGGUCUUCGGCAUCCGCACCGAAGCCGUCGGGAGCGAGGCGCCAAGAAGAGCGCCGGUUGCUCUGGAGGGAGACCCGCCCUUCGCCCGGCGGGUCGGGGGCGGGGGCGCGAGAAUUGAAGAAUCUGAGAAUUGGGUCGUCGCCGCCGCCGUCUUCCUCCGCCCGCCGCGGUGGCUGCCGCCGCGGCUGCGACUGCGGCAGCACCUCCGGCCGCCGCCGCCGCCGCCGCCGCAGCAGCUGCUGCUCUUCAUGUUGCUGGAGGUGAGGAAGGAAGAUGGGAGAAGAGGGAGAGGGAGAGGCUGCGGAUAGGGAGGGAGGGUUGCUGUUGUUGUUGUUGUUGUUGCUGCUGGAGGUGGUGGAGAUGGCGGGGACGGAGCAGGAUCUGGUGAAGUGAGCGGGAGGAGGAUGGCGGAACGGGAAUGGCAAGCGCUGGUUCGUGAGAGCCAUCGUCUCGUCCCCAAAAAGAUCGAAUUUUUGAGUGCCUUCCCUCGCUGAGUACCGAGCUGAAAUUUGUACUGUCGACUGUAACAGUCCUAUUCCUAAUCAGAACCAUUUUUCUAUCUCCGAAAUAGAACACAAUUUUAUUAUUUUAAUUCUGAAAUAAAUUUUUAGUCCAAAAUAAAGUUGGAACAGAAAUGUUUUAUAUUUCUGAAAUAUAAAUAAAGAAUAAAAACUUUUCUCAUCACUCGUUCUUGCUACUAGCCAGCCUCCCACUUGCCGUUAUUUGCCACCACUGGUCAUUCUCAUUCUCGCUAUUAGUCAGCCACCCACUUGCCGUGCCACCACUGGUCUUUGUCCCCGUUGCCUUCCGUCGGUGGCCGGCUGUUAUCAUCUGUUCAUUGCCAUUGCUCAAGAGAGAAAAAUUCCAAGUCAUUAUCAAAUGAAUUUUUAUUCCGCCAAUAAAAAUUUUAUGUCAUUACCAAACGCUUAUUUUUACUCGGAAACUCGUUUAAAGAAUAUAAUUAGAAAAAUCUACUUCUAGAAUAAGAAUUGAUUUCUCAAACAGAAUGAUCAAAUUAGGUCAAAAAUGGUUCAACUCAAAAUUGACUUGCAUAACUCAUUCUAACAUGAAAAUAACCCAUUUUCAUAUGAUAUGGACUUAGUGGUCUAUACGAAACCCAACUCAAUCCAAUCCAUAUUUCAAAUGAACAAUAAUCAAUGUCAAAAAGUGAAAAUGCAGCUCAUUGUGUGCAUAAUUCAUCAUCUAGAAAAUGUGCUAUACACAGAUCUUUUUCUUGAAAUAUAAUAAUUCUUUUUCAGACCUUCUCCUAAUCUGUCAUGACUCUACAUCGCAUUUCAUUAGGAGGGAAAAAGAUUUGAGGCUAUAAGCAAUGGCACUCGGACUAGUCAUUGAAGUGAGAGUGGCUUUAGACCAUUAUCAAAGAUGAUACUCAUGAAAUUCAGCGCCUGAUAAUAGAAAAAAUAGCUUGGAUCUCGUUGACAAGCUCUUCAGAGGAACUACCAGCAACCAAUUUUCAAUCCUUGGAGUGUAUCAAAGAAUGCCUGCGAUUGCUGAGCAGUGAAAAUAACCAUCCUCUUGCUCGGAUACCUGCGAGUCGAAGGAAGAGUUUGGACUAAAAGUUCUGCCGUACAGCCCCUUCAUGCGAUUAAUGUAAAAGCUAAGAAGUUGUAUUGGAAGCUCGUGAACGAAGUCAAAAGAAAUGAGGCUUCGGAUUGAUAAGAUCAUCUUCUACAACAGACCCAAGGCACGUCAUUUCAGAACAAUUAUGACCGCAGCGAAGAAAGCACCGUGCCAAAGAAGUUACAUCCUAUUUACACGAGAAAGUUUCAUGCUUUCUCACUGCAGCAUGUUUCGAUCUUAAAUGAUACAUGACGACAUGCUCACACAAAGUCUAGACAUCGCCGCUGCUUUGAUCAUGUUGGACUUGGCUGCAUCUAGCAACGGGUCAGCCUGUAGAGCUUGGUUGAAACAAUAUUGGGCUUCUUCCAAGUUUCCCUCGGCAACAAACACGAGACCCAGGUUGUUGAAUGCAGGAGCAUAUCCAGGGCGGAGUUCGAGAGACUUCGUGAGCAUUGCCCUGGCUCGUCCAUACUGUCCAAGACGCCGGUAGAGAUUUCCAAGGUUGGAAAAUAUAGCAUGCGCAUGCUCAGCUCCCGUCAAUGCCAAAGCCCGCUUGUAUACUACCUCAGAUUGUGAUGGCUCCUCAGACAAAUGCAGAGAGAUGCCUGACCAUAAACAAUCAAAACAUGAAGAGUAUAGUUUACCAAAGCAAUUAAGGGAGACGCGUAUUGCAACGAACUGUACCUAAAUUUGACCAUGCACAGCUGCAUUUGCUCAUGCGAGCAACCGUAGCUUUGAGGUACUUUUGUGAUUCUUUGAAAUGUCUAGUACAAAGACUAUGGAGGCCAAGCUGGUGCCAAUGGACAGCAUCAUCAGGGUCCUCUGCUAUGGCCUAGUUUAUUCAAAGACAUGCAAUUUAGGAAGAAGGAAAAAAAGCUGAACUAAGACAAACUACCACAUGAAUGGGGUCAAAAUAAAUAUGAAAGAACACCUAUGCUCUGAUUUUGAUUUUAGUGAGCACAAAAAAUCUCCACUCAAAAAAGAUAAACCCCAAUCCAUUCACACCAAAGGACACAUUUAACUCAAUUCCACUAAUCGCCAGGCGGUAAGCAUACAAUCAAUGUGGUGGUGGCAGCAAGAAAUAAUUCAAAGAACUUCAUUGAUUUCCUAAUAUCUCCCAAAUCAAACAUCAAAGAAUAGACAAAGUGGAAUGAAGUAGUAGGCUUAUCCUUCAAAGAUAAAAAAUUUAAAACUGCAGGCUUAAUCUAUUUAAAAACAAAUGUACAUAUCCAUACUGUCGCCAAUUCAAGAUCGAGGCAUACUUAUAAAUGUGAUUGCUCCUAUCAUGAAUAGCAAACUCAAGAGAGGAAGAGAGCUGACUAUAAAAGACAGGCUAAUUAAAUACUUUACCCAGCUAUUAUCUUCAUUUUGUAAGCCGCCUUAAUAUCAAUGUAAGACCCUUUUCAAGCAAAUCUACUACAGCUAUACCUCAACAUAACCUGACGGAAUAUUGUUUCCAAAAAGAAAAACCACCCAGUUGGGCUAUUUCCAGUUACAGCACUACAUAAAUCACAUAAUCAUACCAGUAGCCCACAAGCAAUGACAGAAUAUGCGACUAAAGUUGCAGCCCACAAGCAUCGACAGAAUAUGUUACUAAGUAGCAGGCUUCCCAAAAAACCAUUACAGUUACUAAGCUAGGCAGGACACCACCUCUUUAUCUCGGGGCUAAACUAGAGACCAGAGCAAAUACCUGCUUCAGACUAUAGGUAGCACUUUCUUCUACGUCCAUCAGUUCAUUUGAUUCUUUUCCAAAUCCAGCCACAAUCUCGUGUUGGACCUUAUGAACCAUGGCAAGCCCUGACCAAGCAACAGGAGCUUGAAUUAUUGCAGAAUCUCCAUCCCUCACAAUUGAAGCCAUUUCAUUUCCAGCCAACGAAAGCUGAUCAUAAGGAUCCUGAGACCUCUCUACAUCCUUGAUCCGGUGGAGUGCCACUGCAUAUCGAGUCGCCAUGCAACCGGGAUCCAAUUUUACUGACUAGAAUAGGAACAGCCACAAGUCAUUCUCAUAAAAAAAGGAAAUAAACAGCUGCACAAUACAUAGUACCACAAGUCAUGACAGACAAUGGAAGCAUGAAUUCCAUUAGAAUAUAUAAAGAUUCAUCAAAGAAACCAAUGGACAACCUCAAACAGAGGCCAUAAGCACCUUCUCCAAGCACUUGCUGGAAUUACGAUGAUCACCAAUCGUAUAAUAUGCAUCCGCCAGAUUGAUCCAGAUAUGCGAUGCUUUAGGAUCUGAUUUCAAAGCUGUUAGCAGACACUCCUUUGCCAGAUUGACAGCAGUAAGCUGAUCUACCAAAGCACCUUCACCGGCAUUUGCCCCAGCACCUGCAAAAUUUAGAUAACAUUAGUCAGCUUCAUAUGACAUACUAAAGGAUAGCAGAAGUUAAACCAUAUGCACCAGAAACAGUAGAUCCUGCUUCAAUUCUCAACCGUCUUUUAGACAUGUAUCUCCAAAAUCCAGUUAACUGUUUAAAACAUACCUGGAACAACAGCACCGUAUCUGCAGAGAAGAAGGGCUGCAUAGUUCAUUAAAGCAGCAGGAUGAUUUUGAUCUUUCAGGAUUAAUCCUUGAAAGCAUUUUGCUGAUUGCUCCAUCUUUCCACUGGAAUAAUAUUAGUUGUUAGUCCAUUAUCCUGUCCAGGUAAAANNNNNNNNNNNNNNNNNNNNNNNNNNNNNNNNNNNNNNNNNNNNNNNNNNNNNNNNNNNNNNNNNNNNNNNNNNNNNNNNNNNNNNNNNNNNNNNNNNNNAGUACGGUACUUGCUAAAGUAUGCCACUAAUAGCCUUGAACAAUAAACUUCUGAUAACAGGCAAAAACAAGUACAUGAUCCAUCUCACCUUUGAAGGUAAGCAAUCCCGAGAUUCCCGAGGCAAUCGAAAUUGUUGGGAGCAAUAGCCAACAAACAACAUAAAACUGAGAUAGCACUCUUCGGACAAAUCAAUAAGAAAGGUAAACUAAUUGUCAGUUCAGUAAAGAAAACAGUGUAAAGGAAACGGUUAGCAGGAAUAUAUUCACCUGCACACGAUUUGUUUUAAGGAGAAUCAAGCCAAGGGUGUUCCAAACAGUUGCAUGCCUGGUAUCGGCUCGCAUUGACUCCCUCAGCUUAGAAAUAAUUUCCUCAAGUUCAUCAUGUUCAAGCUCUUUAUCUGAGUUGUCAUCCCCUAAGCUCUCUAACAGAAUACACUGCACAUUUGGACGACCACCAUCAUGUCAGCAAGCCCAAAGUUCUUAAUCUACGCCAAACAACAAGUACAAGGUUACUCCACCUGUGCAUGAUGAAUCUGAACUAACGAGAGCAACUCCGGCCGCUCAAUCUCAAUCUCAGGACGCAACAAGAUCUCCGCUGCUUUUUCAUAUACAGAGACUGCCUAGGAAUUUUAGAAGAGACAUGAAUACAUCAAUAAGCACAGACUCAUCAAGAUGAAAUUAGAUAUGUGACGCAUGGAGGGUACCUUUUGAGGUUGGCCCAACCUCUGAUACAUCAAGCCAAGAAUGAAAUGAGCAUGGGCAUUCUUGGGCAUCUUCCUAGCAACAUGAACCAAACCCUGGGAGCAAGCACUGAAUUAGCAUGGAGAACAUUGAGAAAAAGGGAAAGAAUUGACUGUAAAUCAAUUCUGCAUCUUUACAUGACACUGCACACCACAUCCAUUUUCUGUUAGCCAAGAGGUUACUAUCAAGAACAAGGACCAAAAAGUUGUUUAGCAAAUGAACACCAACAAUAGCUCUUUAAAACCCGCUAGAGACACAUUUCAGUUGCGACCAGCGCCAAAAUCAACAUCACGAGAUGAAAAUGGCUAUAAAAGCUGAAGAUGACUCACGGUUUUUAGACUGCUAACUUUUUCUUCUCGAGACGAAGGAGUCCCCUGACAAGGCUGAUCAACGUCGCCAUCACCUCCACAAUCAGGAGAGCACUCUACCUUACUGAUCUUCGUACGGCAUUUCCCCAACUUGUUUAGCUUUCUACAGUCACCUUCCGCACCAUCUACAUCUUUAGAGAUUAAUGUACUCUUCUCUUGGCUGCUUUCAUCAUUGUUCAACCUAACGAAUACACGACUCACAUCCGGUGAGCAAUUUAAAAAAAAACAAAAAAAACAAAAAGGGGGCAACCCCUCUUGUAGCAAAGGCGUGGCACAAGGACUUACACCAGUGAUGCUAUAAACCUCAUCAAGUUAAAGAGAUUGAGAUUAAUAUAAAUUCGCGCAUUCACUCCUACUAAACAGAGACAAGAAACUACAAAUCAUUUCUACUUCUACCCUUCUUAACAAUGGAGGGAACUAGAAUUGGUUCCCCAGCCAUUCGAUUCUUGUAGCUACUGCACAAAUUUCUCGAGCAAGGUCAUCUCAAAUCACCCUUCCGCCUAUCAAUUAGCUAAAACCGCCCCCUUUUCGCCUUCGAAUUCUCGCAACUACCGCCCUCGGGAAGCUCCGAAUCGGAGAACCCGAACGCGGCAGCCGAGCUAACCGAACACCGUGCUCAUUACGACGAGGGAGAAACCAUCGAUCAAAUCGAAAGAACAACCUCAGCUCCUCGUACCUGGAGCUGAAAGGAGACGGGGCGGGAGGAGGGAGGGGCUCGUCGCCGUCGGACACGGGAGGGUCGACGUUGAGGUCGGCCAGCACGACGAACCUCGACGCCGGCUGGUGGUGGUGGUGGUGCGGCGCCGGCGCCGCCGCGUCGUCCGAGGAGGCGCCGGCCGCCGUUCCGGGCUCGGUUUUCACGACGGCCGCGAGGUGCGGAGUUCUCGACAUCAUUCUCGCGCUCGCUCGAUCCUUCCUCAGUCAACUGCACUGGUAAAGCGCACCGUGGUCAGCUCGACAAACGUCAAUGCCAUUAGGGCACGAACUUGGGCUUGGCCCAGAAAAACUGAAUGGGCCAACUUUUUUGGGCCUUUAUGAUUUGGUCUUACUUUGAUCAUGAAGAAAAGACAAAAGCCCAAUCUGCAUUUGUUUAUCGGAAAAUGAAUGAUUUAUAUCAUACUUUCUUAUAAAUCAUCACCUAUAUCAUUAUAAAAAUGAAUGGAUGAACAAUUAUUUCACCGCCCUCAAAGAUGUUAAGACAUGACUUAUCAUCAAUAAAAGCAUUUCUCAUUGACCAAUUAUUUCGAAUAAUACAAUUGAUCGUUCUUUUAAAAAUGUUCUCGAAAUCAUUCAAUUUUCCCGAGACGAACGGAACCUGAGGAAACAAUAGCCGCCGUUAUCAAGACAUUCGUUUUCACAUCCUCGAGCGAAGAAUAGUUGCAAGACUGAGAGUUCUAAAAGCAAGCAAUGGCCUGCAAGAAAAGAGGCCGCCCAUCUACAUUGCAUUCAGGAGCAGGCGAGCCCGGGAGUUCAUUAUUCACUGACACUUUCAGAAAGUUUGUUCUUCAGAAAGUCAAGUUUACUGACAUGUCAUGAUUUACAAAUUUGAAAAAUUACCAUCGCCAAUCAAAAACUAACCAACCUAUGGAAGAUUAUCGAUCAGGAAUUGUAAACACGUUAUUUAAGCAACAAAUUUGCCAAAGUAUCUAUACGAGAGUAAACAAACACCACAGCAACAAGUAAACCAGGAAUUUAUAAAGGACAUGGGAAUGUCGUCGUAAUCUCUACCCUAUUACUCCGCAUUCGCGGAGAGUUUGAAGGUGUUCUCAGAAAUGAUGUCCUAGAGUUUCCUCCUAAUUUGCAAAAUUGCUGCGUCUUCAACUUCGCCCCAAAAACAGAUUCAAUUUAGACCAUGUUGGGCCUCUGAGGCAACAGAAGAUUAUAGAACUUAUCAUGCAAGAAGAAGCUCUUGCCCUUGCUAUCUACGGCUUUUUUCCAGCUACACCAUCCGCCAUUCAUAAUCUUCUUAUGAUCAUCGCUCCCUGUGUAGUGAGGAUCGAGUAUGAGAAAAGCGCAGUCUCCACUGGCUUCAUUGUAGUCGAUCCCUAGAAGAGUGUAUGCAAGAACCCCACCACCUGUGCACACAAAGCAGUACAAACUUAGGAUGAAGCAGUAGUGUUACAUCAUAUGCAUCGAUCACGACCUGCUUGGAAACUCCCACACACCGAUGGUCAUUGUCUGCAGUAUCAGCCUGUGAAGUACAUUUCGGGUUCAUCAUCCCCCACAUAUUUUGCCAAUAUUAAAAGCUUAGAUGAACCAGGGUCAUUCUGACCAUAACCAUUAGCUCGUAUAAUCCACUCUUAACAAUGUGUCGAUCACAUGUUUUCCCCCCUAAAAGCACUACGGAUAAGGCAAGAUAUUUUUCCAAUUAAUUAUUGAACAGAAUUAUUUAUUCCGUUCUUUUAUUAAUCUGUUUCCACAUUGAAAUACUCAACUCAAAAAUUCUUUUACAAAAAUAUUUUUUUUCCUGAACAAGAGAAAUGAAAUUGUAAAAUAAUUUGAAUGCCAAAGAUGCGAAAGUACUUUUAGGAAAAAAGAUUGUGACAGAUGCAUUUCACUAACCAAUCAUGAUCGGUGUUCCUUGAGUCUCAAAAUGCAAGGCCAGUUCUCGACACUUCUCAGGUAGCUCAGCUCCGGAUCUCACAUUAAUCACUUUGCAACUAACCUGCUCAAGAUAAUUACAUCUAGUUUUAUGUAAGGCAUACUCCCAACCAUAGACACAACAAGAAGAGUUAAAUGGAUAAACCCCAACCCACCCCCAAAAAACAAAACCAAAAAAAAAAAAAAAAUCCACUUCUUCCUUUCCCUUUUUCUUUCUCUCUUCCCCAAGGAGAAAAAAAUAUUGCGUUGCGUUGCUUUCAACGAGUACACUGUGAAUUUACCAUUGAGUUUCACAACCUUAAACAGACAGUAAGGAAUCAAUAGGGAAAGCAUAUGAAUCUCCACCACCUUUAACUAAGUACUCCUUACAAAAACUUGGCAGAUGUAUAUACAAAAAGAUUGUCAUGUGGGGAUACUUACACCAAGGAGCUUAUCUAAAACAAAGCUCAAUUCGAUGGCACCAAUCCACUCACGAGAACCAAUGAAAGCAGGCUCCUUAUCUCCAAUUUCCACUAGUGACUGCUGAAUUUCCCUGCAGGACAAAGAAAAUCGAUCAUUAUAUUGGCUGAAGCCAAAAAUCUGAGACAGUAAGGACAAGCAAUAGAAACCCAAGGAGCCCACAAAAUCGUUUCUCCUGGGGUAAUCAUAGAAACUCAUCCAAUAGACAUAUUUGUACUCAGAAGAAGAGUUCCCACAACAAUUGCCUAGGCCGCAGGAGAGGGAAAAGACAAAGGAAAUUCAAAGAAGGGCAUUAAAAGCCAAUAUCACAUGACUAAGUUUACAGUCAGAAGCAGAGGACAAAAGAAAAUCUUGCAAUCAUUUAGACUGAUUACAAAGAGAACUGUGUCUAAGCUAGUGCACCAAAAUCUAAACAAGGACCAAGACUGCUAAGAUAUCCAUACCUGUGAGAAGGGACGUCAAUGGAUGUGUAGUAUUGGAGUCUGAACCAAGAAAUGAUGGUUUGCAGAGAGCGGUAAGCACAUCCCCAGCCCUAUUAUGAAUGACAUGCAUAAAUUCAUGAACUCGUGAGGAAAGAAGAGAAAAAUGUCAAACUGGGGUGCCCAUGUGGACAUGGAUGGAUCUGAAUCUUCAUUUCAUUAAGUUGGAUUCACAAAGUAAAAGUUUGAAGCCAGGAACAUGACCAUUGAGCACUCCUCUCUUUCAUUUUUGGAAACACAGAAACAGAAAAGCUACACGAAGGUGAACAAAAUGUUCUUCAAAGUAACAGCAUGGUUUUAUAGAAAAAGGCAAAACAGAAACACAUAAAGGAAGAAAUAGCAUUACCGAGUCAUCAAAACCAUCUUGAAGGUAAUGAUAGUACUCAUAUGAACCUUGAACAAGAGAGGUAACUCCACCAGAAACUAUAAACAGGGAGAAAGAUUCAGCAUUUCGUUUGAAUUAAAGGCCCAAGAGAAAAGAAGCAAUAGAAAGACAACUUAAUCAACAUCUCACCACCACUGCUUGGAAUGCCGAUAUGCACAUCUUUAAGCAAAGAAGGCCCUGAUAUAACCAAAAAUUGUUGCCCCGCAGUUAUACACAAUAUUUUAAUGUGUGAACAAAGAGAAUGCAGUGUAGUUUGAACUAGAAGAUUAUUACCCCUUUGCCUUUCUUUGCUUUUUACACCAUCAACCGUAAAGUAUAGAGAAUUUGAAAUUCGUAGAAGCGGUCGAUCAGUCGGUAAUCCAAGUCUCAUAUGGAGAGAUCUUCUUACUUCAACUGUAAAGUACAAAAUCUCGUUAGUUCUUGCCAAACCACCACUGUCGCUGCUAUAUAACCAUAUUGGCAAUUUCCAAGCCAUGUGUGUGAUUAUACCAUCUAUGAAAGCAUAACAAGACUAAUUCUUCAUUCAGCCUCUUCGAUCAUAAGAACUUAAAACUGGGGGAGUAAAAGCAGAGAACAAACUUCUUUAUAUUGAUCAAAAAAGAUAUUGGGCGAUGAGACCCAAAACUAAGAUAUAUUCAACAAUGGAUUUUGCAUCACAAGAAUACUUUUCACCUAUAAGCCAAAAACAAAAAAUUACCUUGGCUCAUUUCAGUCUCUCCAUAACUGAGAUCAUAAAUAACUGUAAUUGGGUGCAACAUUCCCAGAGGAUUGAAAUGAUAUGGAUGUAACUGUAAGCAGCAAGAUCAAACGCUGAAUAAAUUGAAAUGAAAAUGAACAAAUGAAAGAAACAAGCAAACAGGCUUCAAGUAUAAUGUCCAUUCUUAAGCAAGAUCAUCUCAGGGGCCGAUAAUUAAAGUGCAUAAUUUUAGACCAAUUAGUGCAUGCAAAUAUUUCUUAAGUUAUUUGUAAGUGCUACGUGCUCAACUUAAUAUCGCCACUAAUCAAUGUACUUGACUAUUUUAGCAUAUCAUUUUUAUGGCAAAGAUGUCUUGGGAUUUGCUGAUACCGAAAUUGUCUCGUGUUUAUGAAAAGCUUUUCUCAAUUUCUUUCUUAGCUAGAAGUUGUACAUUGAAAAUACAUAGUAAUUACAAGUACAAUGUGUGCAUGUUCAGGCUUAUUUGAGCACAUGUUCAGGCUUCUAUAUAUUCUAUGGUGUGCAUAUGAGAGAGAGAGAGAGAGAGAGAGAGAGAGAGAUUUUACCCGGGGAUGAUCCUUUAAAAGAUUAGGUACAUAUGCAUUCUUCAUUGCAGUUAGCUGGUCAACAACACCUGGGAUCAGUAACUUUGAAAUUGCGCUGACUAGGGGAAGAUCUUUUGGAGCAUAACAAAGCACGUCCAACUUGAACUGAAGAACAGAAAGUCUUGUUUCCUCAAGCACUGAAAAGAAAAAAUAAAUCAUCAACAAAUCUCUGGCCCAAAAAAAUCAUCAACAAAAACUUAAGAACAGAAAUCAAUGGAACUGGUCAUGUUAUGGAAACAAGAUCUGCAGUUAAGAUUCUUACUUAGGCAGAAAUAAACUAGUAGCUAUACAUCAGGGCCCAUAUCAGUCAUGCCACAUAAAUUACACAACAUAAAUACCUGGAAAGUACACUGCAACAGGAGCAGCGGUUUCCCCAGACUUUCUCGAUCCAUUAAGCAGAAAAGUGACUUCAAUAAUGUCUGCAUUCUAAGCAGAUAAGCUUUUUAGAAACCAACCAAAAAGACCAAGCAAAACUAACACACUAAAUAUCUAGUAGAGAUUACCUCAGCUGAGAAUGACUUUGUUCCAGGAUUACUUUCCAAGCAAAAAUGUGAACACGGUAAUGACUUUAUAUCUCUAUCUUCCGCCACUUGACUAGAAAGCUUGACAUUCGAGAUAUCUGCAUCAACAUCUAAGUCCCCAGCAUGAAAGAUGACUGGUUGAGGCGCUUCUGCAUUUGCUUUAUUUAAAGUUUCCACCAUAAAUGUGACUUCCGGAUCUUUAAAUUUUUCUGCCGCUGCCCCCACAGUCGACAAAUACAGCUCCACAGCAUCUGGAUUCCCAAAAAAAAAAGGUUACACAAAAUGGAUUAAAUGCAGAAAAUAGAAAAGACGCCUCUAAAGUUCAUCAUCCUGUUCAAAAAGAUAUGACCAUUAUAUACACAUUGUAGCAGAUGCAACAUAAGAAGACUUGCAUAAGGAUACACCAUAUCCUAAAAAUAAGAACAUCAAAAAAAUGUUCCCAUUGCCACGCUUACCUUUAAUAUUUAUAAUGUGCAUAAAUAUAUCCUUGCCUGGCAUCUUAAAGCACCAAACUUUUGUCAAUAAGCUCGUCCAAUGAUACAUAAGUCAGCUUGUAUCAUAUCAAAAACCAUCUUUUAUGCCUUUCUCUUACCUAGAUCCUAGCCAAUUCACCUCUACCCCAUAGCUGCAGUCAGUUGUCACUAUAUUUGUGUACACAACUUCACGAUUUUUCAGAAAGGACUAUCAGUGCCUAAUAACGUACGGAUAAAGUAAGUUUGAAUUAAUCUUUACCAAGAAACUUUCUCCCAAUAAGCAUGCAUAUACAUGAACACUUUACACUUAUUUUUUAGCACUAGAAAUGACAAGGAAUCAUUGUCCACAUCCUAGGAGUAUAGAUUUUGCAUGUUCCCAAACUCCAGUCAACAGGGAUAAAAUGCACAUGCUUAAAUCUCAAAAGUUCAUUUCUAACUUCCUCUAAGCUAACACUCUAACUUCCCUAGUAAGCAUUAAGUAGUCAUGAACAUUAGCCAUGAACACUUAGUCAAUUACCAACAUUUCACUUUUUGCACUAACAAAAAACAACCAACAAAACUUCCAAUCUCAGCCUGUCGGUUAUAUAAGGUUCAGAAAUGUUUCAAAACCGUUAUCAGGGCACUCAAGCUGAAGAAUAGGCUCAAACUGCAAUCAAUCGGCUAUAUCAAUCUAUAAAGAUCAGCGAAGACGCGUCAGCACGAGAUGCAGAUAAACUUACCAGACUUCUUGUUCUCAGGAAAAUAAAAUGGCAACUUUAUAGGUAACUUGCAGCGAAGGAGGCAUCCUUUCUCCCAAACAUACUUCUCAGGAUCACUGUCAUAUAUAACAGAUGUGACGGCCUCGAGGCUCUUCGGACUUUCACCGCUCGAGGAAAAGAAGUGAACAUCACCAGAAUCAAUAUCACCAACAGCACCAAUCGUCCAGUGCUUUUCCGACUUUCCUCCAAAACCAUCCACCCCUAGAAGCUUUUGCAUCCUUCGAGCAGCAUCGACAGCGUGACCAGCCAUUUGCUCCACAUUGCCGUCUCUUUGAACAACUAGUGCUCCAAUUACACAGAACCCCUUCAUAAGCAAUACCUGGAGAUCUUCUGCUCCAUCCAAACAAGGUCGGCAGUUGAAUAAAAACCAAAACAUGGCAUGCACAUAUUUUAAAUUGCCAAGAGAAAUGCGACUAAAUCUAAGGGUGCAUUCAUUUCGUGAAAAAUAAGUGAUUUGGAAAAUAUUUUUCGAAAAAAUGAUUGUUUAUAUCGUUCAGAAAAAUUAGUCAAUCGAAAAUAUUUUCAUCAUCGAUAACGAUCUAUGCCUAAUUAUUUCCGUGGACGAUAAAAAAAAUUUGCAUUCAUUCAUUCUGUAAGCGAUAUAAUCAAUUAGUUUCCGGAAAAUAUUUUCCGAGUCACUAAUUUUCCGCGAAAGGAACGCGCCCUAAGAGACCCAAUUCCAGCUCCAUCGCAGAAAGUGUACUUAACUAAAAAUAAUUACCCAGGAACAAGACAAUGAAUCGCUCUCUUUAGAAUUCCUUCGGUUCUACCCAUCUGCCAUGAUGAAUUCGAGCAUGAACAUAACGUCUAAUUCAAGACUCCACUCGCCAUUUCCCUCGUCUUCUGAAUGCCAGAGUCAUUAUUAACUCCAAAAACAUGCAUCGAAAAUUCUUACGCCAGUAUUUUCUACUGAUUCCAUGCGAAAACAGACUCGACCCGCUCGUGCUGCAAUCUGCAGAAUACAAAUCCACUGCCCCCCUCGCUCAUUCGCGAUUCCGACGAAGAGAAACUUGGACGCGAGAAAUUACCCGAUUCCUUGGCGUAAUCCAAGGCGAGCGCGUCCCCCGGCGACCUGGAGUGGAGGCACCGGAAGGUCGAGAAGAUCGCGACGGGAUCGGCGAAGAACGGGGAUCCGAUCAGCCACUGGAGGCACGGCUCGUCCCUCCUGAGGACGAGCUUCGGGCACAAGACUCUUACGCCGGGGAUUUCCAUCGGGAACUCCGAUUCCGAUCGCCGCCGGCUCGCGUUUCCUCCCGACGAACGUCAAAUUUCAACCGGAGCCGGAGAAAUAUAUAACAGUCAUUGACCGUAGCGAGCUAGACUGUCUGGGCCUUCGGGCGUUGUGGAAAGAUCUAGGUAGAAGAGUGGGCCUUAAGAAUGGGCCUCGAAAUGGCCCAAAUCAAUGCCGGCGUUCCGUCUUCUGGGCUUCAAAAGGGGCCCGCUUGACCCGAAGGAAUUCCCGCCCAGACUAUACAUAAUGGGCCUGGAAUUUUGGGCCUUUCGUGGUCCCCGAUCGAGUUGAGAUGAUGGGCGGGCCCGGUAGCCCAGUAGCCCGACUGGACUGAAUCCUGAUCCUAGUCCGACUGCUCCGACCCGGGUUUUUCUUAUGAUUUUGUUAAGUGUUAUUUGACUAAGGAUACUCUAUUUGUUUCACAGAAAAUGAACAAUUUUAAAAAUAUUUAUUUAAAAAUAAUCACUUAUAUCACUUGCAAAAUGAAUGAACAAAAAUAUUUUCAUGUCUAUAAAAAUAUUUAAACAUAAAUUAUUAUCGAUAAUAAGAAUAUAUUUCAUUAAUAAAUCAUUUCAAAUUAUUCAAUUUUCAUAAAACAGAUGGAACAUUUCGUUGGAAAAUAUUUUCAUUUUUCAAUGCAUAAAUGCACUUGACAUAAUUGUCUUUUGCUUAUUAGGGUGCGUAUGACAAAAUUUCUAUAACAAAAAUUGAUUUAUAGCAAUAAAUUGAUUUCUCAAUUUCUAUUUCAUAAAUUGAAAAGUUAAAAAUUAUAACUUCUGAUUUUUUCUUCAAAUCCAUUUAUAGAAUAUAAAUUUGUUCAAGAAAUAGAAAAAUUAAAUUGCGUUACCAAACGGAUUUUUGUUCGAAACCUAUUCCGGAGAACAAAGAAACAGAUAAAUAAAGAAGUCGAAAUUUUAACACGCGCGCCAUGUAUGUCCAAAUCGUUUACAUUAAGACUUCUUAUUCAUUCAAGCCUGAUAAUUUUUAUUAAUUUUGUCUAAUUGCUUUGCGACCGUCUUGUCUUUUCUUAUUUUUGAAAGACAGGAGGAAAAAUAAAGUAAUGUGAUUAGGUGUUUUUUUAGCUCGGCUUUCAAUUGAAUUUUCAUUCCUAGUCUAAUCAAUAAGGAGUAUUUUAUCCGAACAUUAACUGUAGAAACGAAGGCCAGAAUGCAAAGAAAAAAAUAGUCAGUCCACAAAUUAUAAAUUAAGAUUAGUCAUGCGAUGAAUUGUGAAAGCAGCAAGCACCGGUAAUAAAGUCAGGCAAUCUUACAAUGAUAAGCAACCCCAUAAGAGGUCAUUAAUAGUUAAAAAAAGCUUAUCGCAAAAGCUGUUAAGAUGUCAUCAAGUCAUAAUCAGAAGUUAGACAUAAUAAUUGAGAAUCAAAGUGCCCGACAGCUCUCUUGGCCUUGGCAACAUCAAGCUAACGACCCCUCGAUAUAUUUGUUUGUCGAAUCUUGUUAACGAGUGCUCGCAACACACACCCAAACUUUAUUUAAUAAGAAAAUAUAUCAAUUUCCAGUGCAUUAAUCAUACAUUACGAGGAAGAUAAUACGUUAAAAAUGACAAACUUUUUUUCGAAUCAAGUACUUAACAAUUAUUCUCGAGACGCUUAUUAUUAAAAUUAUUGCAAACUCCCCUCUAACAGGGUCUCAAUGGCUCAACCAAUCAUCAUUAUGUUGCAUUGACUUCAUAGACACAAAAGCCAUUCCCCAAUUAUGGCAUCAUAUCUAUCCACCUGCCGAUGCCCUGAGCCUGAUCAUCGAAAGUCCUGCUGCUGCAAGGUACAAUCAUCAAUGUACAAUCAUCAAUGCUCAUUUGGUCCUUCCCCUUUUUGGUCUCGCGGGGAGGAAUGAUGAUGUUGAAUAGCUCGAUUCGCAAUUUCGAGUAAGUUUCUAAACGAGAAUUGCCGACAAGCUAUGAAAUGCAUUUAUUUACAACGAAUCGCCAUGUGUAAAAACCGUCAAUAUCACGUUAAAGUUACUCAUCGUAAUUUUAGCUUCCAUUGACUCUAAUGUUUGUUACUCAAUGUUGUAGGCUUCAUCGACAUAAAUAAUGUAUUCAACCGACAUAACAUUAAAAGAGCAUUACCGAAUCUUUGAAAGUGGUUUUACGUUGAUUCUUGAAAUUUCAUAUAUGUCUUGUUUUUGUUGCUUGCGACAUAUAUUUACGAAUCUUGAAGCAAUAAAUCUCAACUUGGAAAACAUAAAAGAAAUGAAAAAAUUUUAAAGGAAAAAGGGGUGAUUUUGUCUCACUUUAUCAAUAUAUCUAAUUGGACCCGCAUUUACUCAGAAGUUCGAGCCAAUGAGUUAUGAGUAAAUUAGGAAUAUUAACCAUAUCAAUCCUUACCAAAAAAAAAAAAAGAGGGGCGUUUCUUGAAAAGAGAUAUCAAAGUAGAUUUUAUUUCAAAUAAUAUCCCAAAAUGACUGACUUAGUCUCCAAACAUACCUUUGGCAUAUUAAGAGUGCAUAAUAAAAGUUUGAUCCAUUCACCUAAGGAGAUCUCAAAAAUAGAAUAGAAGUCUCACUUUAUUAACAUAUCUACUUAAAUCUACAUUCACUCAAAAAUUAAAGCCAAUGCGUUACAAGCAAAUUAGGAAUAUUAACCACAUCAAUUAUCUAAUAUGAGUUUUAUUCAACAUAACUCAUAUGCGUAUCUUGACAUAGCCCAAGCAAUUUCAUCCGAGAUGUCCGAAUUGUAAAGCAAGGACCCCGAUUUGAUUUUAUGCGAAAGUAACAUAACUAUGCUGUAACUUUUCCAUCUGUCGAGCGUCCAUUCACCUUCAUUCCCACCUUUUGCUCGACCCGAUUUAAUCCCUAAAUUCUUUCACCCUCCUAGAUCUCAAUGGGACAAAAAGAGGGCUAUAAAAAAUUGUUAUUCUAACGACCGAUGUGCAAUUCCGCCUCACCCAAUUAAUAAUUGUCGGUGGACAUCUAAUCAAAAAGCUGAAUCUAGCUAUUACUGGUUGAUUUUGGCUCCUAGUAAAACGCCACCCCCCCCCCCCCAAAAAAUCAAAGCGAGAAAAAUCAGGGGGGAGCGAAUAAAGGAGAAUCCGAGACCCAUCAUUAUUGGCUAAUGAAAAUCGCAAACAGGUCCUCCAGAUUUUGGACGGGAUUGCGAUUGCGACCCCGGCAUGUGCUGGAGGGCACGGCCUGGCUGGCCUGCCGAGGGACGGCCACGUGGCGGGGCAGCCGAGCGCCACUUUUCGUGGGGAUGAGCGGGGGUGGUGCCGGGUAGCUUUCACGUCGCUAGUCUCUCCCCCGGCACAGGCCCAUCGGGGAAAAAGCCCAUUGGGCCCAUCUAACGUGGCCUCCCCCUUGGGUCCCCCCCCACCUUCGACCGGGGGGGGGGGGCCCACCACGUGGCCGCUGUCCCGAGGUUGCUUCGCGUGAAAAGGCGGGGAUCCCGAACCGACGGCUCUCGUCCCCCUUCCAAUCCAGAAUCGACGGCCCCGAUGGACCCGUACGGCGAGAAUCUUGGGCCGUGACGUUACAGAGGAACAUGCGAAAAUUCGGUCGAUCUCCACUAAAUCUCUUGAUUUUAAGAUAAGAAUUAAUCAUGGCUUUAUCACGAGCGGCUUUAAUCGCUUGGCACCUACAAGUUUAAAGCAGCGGGAGGCCCAUUACCACGGACAAAAAGUCAUUUCAUGAAGAUCGUUUGUCUUAAAAAAUCUGUUAUCUGGUACCGCGCUGUAUGAUCAGGCCUUGAAUCACGAGAAUGUUUCGGCUUAGCUUAGUCCGAUUAUUAGCAAAGCAAUAAAGCAAAAAGAGAUCACACUUGGGUCUUGGAAUCUUAUGGACAACUCACGAUGUAAAUUUGUUCAGUGUAAUUAAUGAAUCUUAACUCAAUAUAUAGUGUCAUUCCUAAAUUAUUAAUAUAUUUAAUGUGAUCCUCAAAUUCAAACUAAUUCAUGAAUUAUAUGAAAAUGCAAUAUUUUCUAUGAACUUAAAUUAAUGGAAAUAUAAUAUUUGAUUUCUCAGAUUGUCUAGAAAAUUAGUCUGAACAUCUAUCAAAUUAAAAGUUUGCCAAUCACAUUACUUAUUUGGUUUAAGUUUAGAGAUUAUUUAUAUUAGUGUUUCAAGGGAAAAAUGGAGAGAGAGGAUCAGUAAGAAAAAUGCAGGAAAAUAAAUAAAAUAUACGUUCGGUUGGGCCCCACGACCAAGAAAAGCAAGACCAAUAACUGAGAAGUAGCCCUCAACGAACAACGGCCAAAGUCAAGCGAGAUGAACAGAUAACCCCAAAAAAAAAAUUAAAGCAAGAUGAACGGACAAUGCGGGUGCGGCCUCCAUCCGGGGCCAUGUGUCGGCCGCAGUCCACGGGCUGCUGGCGCCACGAGUGGCUCCCGUUGCGCCAUGUCACCAGAGUUUGUUCAUGCUAAUUCCGGCGAACUUUGCGGUCGUUAAAAAUAAUAUGAAAACGAGUUGCAGUGUUUUCAAGGCAUCGUGGAAAACGGAGACGCCAUGGGGCGGACCUACGGAUCAGAUGGGAAGUUUGAUUUCUAGCGCAAUUGCAUGUGCGGCUGUCACGAGGAUGUUGAUUUCUGACGCACAUUGCAAUAGAUACUUUUCUUUAUUUAUGAAGAAUACAAGAACACGGGAGGAAUAGAAUCUAUGAGUACCGGAUAGGGGCAAGAAACCAAAAUGACCAUUAUCUGAGCAGUUUAAGAUUGGUUCACAACGGGACCGAUCCGGUCACAUGUCCUGAACCGGUUUACUUUACCUGGGAAUGUAGAACACGCAAGGCCAUUUCAAUAGUAGAACAUUGAACCGACCCGAUUUACCUCAAAUUAUGAGUAAUUUUUUGUUUUUUGUUUUUAAAGAAAAUAUUUGUUCAAAUUAAAUAUGUUUGACGUACCAUUGUAAAUGCGUGCAUGUCACGUUUGAUUAAUAAAAAGUAAAAGGAAGCUCGGUCGAUUCUCGAUUGAAAAAAAUUGAGAACCAAAGUUAGCAAUUAGCACGGCGAAACCUACCCAUAUUGGAAUUGAUGCCCCAGGUGUCAGUAUGAACAUAAAACACGAGAAAUUAGCAUAUACGUGUAUAUCUCCGCCGGUCCUUUCUCUAAAACACAUGCCAAUCAAUAACACCUAUCAAAUCCACGCGAAAAUCAAUCUACUUGCUUUUGCGAAUCGUUGCAAGGGGAUAAAGAGGAGACCGGAUUCAAAUCCGAAACUUGUACUCUCGAAAAGGGAGCAAGUACCCGCCGCACGCUCCAUCGAUUCUUCACCGGCAAGUCAUCUUCCUCGUCACGCAAGCAACCCGUGACGACGUGACUUGAGUCGAAGGAGCUUCUCUCGGGCCACACAAGCGACAAUGGUGGAAUUCCAGACUGGCCCAUGCAAUCUUUCGAUCUCAGUCGGUGCCCGCAAUCGCCGUUUGCUGGAAUUUAUUCGGAUCGGAGAAUAAUUUACUCAUCCGAAAGUGCAACUAAGUGCGGUCAGCAUGCAAUUUCAAAGAAAAUUACAUGUACGAAGGGAUAGGUCCGAAUACUUAGUGGCAACUAUGCGACAUACGUAUGAAGAUAUCCCUCCCGUAGUGUCGGUGUAUCUUUUCUUUUUGCUGACAAGAGCAAUUCCUUGGUAAAUGCACGUCUUUUCGGGUUUGGUGAGAUUGCACCAGUAUUUAUGACUUUGCUUUUGGUCGGUCGGAGGCGCGCGGCAUACAUCGAGUCAUUCCUAAAGAGAGAACCCGUAUCUAUCAAGAUUUUUAAGCUCGAGUCACAUUCAUUCUACACUAAUUCUUCGAUACAUGACUUUAUCUUUUAACACAACUCAUGCCUACAUCUCAGCACACGGUAAAAGAAUUAGGUGGCGCUGCGGCAUUGCGCAGCGCCAUAUGGCUUUUCCUCUCUCGGAGACCGGGAUUGUACCAACUAUCCAAUCAAAGAAAAAUCAAAAGGCAUCCCUAACUGCCCCCCUCCCAAAUCAAAUUUCUUUGCCCACUUUUCAUCCAAUCAUGCUCUCUCCCACCCCACCUAAAAGGAACACGACCAUUCCGGCCUCGCCUCGGCUCAGGCCACUUCCCUCCGCACGACGCGAUGCGCGCGAGCGCAAGGAAGCAAAGGACAAAGCCGAUUCUCGGCCGUGUCCUGUCCGAACCAAGGACGGCCGAGGACGAGAGGGAAAACGCUAACGCACGAACUUCCAAUUUCUCAAAAGUGCCACCCAACCGAAGUUUUCCCCAUAUUUUUUUAAUUUUUUUUCCAAAUUUUCCCUUGCCGAAAAGUCGUGGGCAGGCAGCGAUGAUGAUGGGUUAACCUCGAUCCGUGGCCAGUUUAACGUCGCGAAGAACUUGCUCAAAAGGAAUCCCGUAAUUCCAGAAAUCACGAGGCUGGCGGUGGGCCCCCGCGGCUGCUUCUUCUUUUCUUUUUUUUUUCCAGUUUAAUCGCGCCAUGUUAGCCCCGGCCCCCUGCCCUUUUCCUCCUCCUCUUUAUAAAUACGCUCCCUCCCCAUCCAGUUUCCUCCACAAACACACGCACUCUCUCUCUCUCUCUCUACUCCUGCCUUCUUCCUUAUUCGCCCCGAAGAAGAGAAAGCAACAGAGAAAGAAGACAAGAGGUCGAAAAUGGCCGUGGCAAUGCCCACUCUCUCUCUCCUCCUCCUCGUCUUCU